rnacentral:lncRNA from 1 species
AAGUGUUUCGAAGCUGUGCAGCUCUGUCUGUUUAGCCGCUUUCAGUUGUAUUGUCCCUAAAGCUGUUGAACUAUUUCUGUAUGAUCGUGUCAUGAUACUCGAUGAGUGAGCUGAUGUUAAUUAUGGUACUAUAACUUGUUAUGUAUUUGCUCAGAUGUAAGCUUGUGUUGUUCUAUGCUAAUAUGUCCCCAGUGUGUUUGGCAGUCUUCUGUGUCACUCGGGAUCAAAAAGGGAUUAAACAAUGGCUAGUAAGAAUUGCAUGAAACGCAGGUGAGAUCAACAGAAAAAACGCUCAAGCUGCAGCAGUUUGCGUCAAGCUCGGCCCGUUUUGUUUUCAAGUUCUUCUUUGUAGGCCCAGGGUUGUCCACCAAGGUUUACCUCUAUUCUCAUGAGCAGGAGGGGAACAGUAAUUUUCAGGUAACACAUUUAUCAGGAAAUAUACGGAUUUCAAUUAGCAUUCUGAAACAAUUUUGCUUUCCUUGCAGCGUGACUAUUUCAUAGAGCAAUGGCAUACUGCUGCCGUGAUAAUCAUGAAAGGAAAAAACAUUAAGUGCAAAAAAACCCUGAUCCCUAAUCUUAAAUACGUACAAUGUAAACUCAACGUUGGGGAGUAGGUAUGCAGCGGACAUCCGCAUAGUCCCCCAUUUUUUAAAACGAAGUAAAAGAUUUGUCUUUUUUCAUUGAUUAAGAAGAAAAAAAGUGUUCGGUUAAUUAAUAGAAAAUCGGGCUAAAACCAAUACAAUACACAAUCCAUAUGACAUGGGCACCACACGUCAACCUGGCCACCGAUAUGAGACCUGAAGCUGCAAAGAAGAAAGACAUCCGUCGCGAAGUCGCAAGCGUAAUCGUCAUCACAGAUUGCCUCGAACGAGCGACUCCGACUUCACCAUCGAGCUCCAACAUCGAAGCCAUCCCGCAAACAGCUUCAAAGAAACCA